rnacentral:rRNA from 1 species
CNGGGUUAAGUCCNGNANNNANNGCACCCCUUGUCCUUAGUUACCANCNCGUCAUGGUGGGCACUCUAAGGAGACUGCCGGUGACAAACCGGAGGAAGGUGGGGAUGACGUCAAGUCAUCAUGGCCCUUACGGCCUGGGCUACACACGUGCUACAAUGGUCGGUACAGAGGGUUGCCAAGCCGCGAGGUGGAGCUAAUCCCAUAAAACCGAUCGUAGUCCGGAUCGCAGUCUGCAACUCGACUGCG